AUUGAACGCUGGCGGCAUGCUUUACACAUGCAAGUCGAACGGUAACAGGCCGCAAGGUGCUGACGAGUGGCGAACGGGUGAGUAAUGCAUCGGAACGUGCCCAGUCGUGGGGGAUAACGCAGCGAAAGCUGCGCUAAUACCGCAUACGAUCUAUGGAUGAAAGCGGGGGACCGUAAGGCCUCGCGCGAUUGGAGCGGCCGAUGUCAGAUUAGGUAGUUGGUGGGGUAAAGGCUCACCAAGCCAACGAUCUGUAGUUGGUCUGAGAGGACGACCAGCCACACUGGGACUGAGACACGGCCCAGACUCCUACGGGAGGCAGCAGUGGGGAAUUUUGGACAAUGGGCGCAAGCCUGAUCCAGCAAUGCCGCGUGCAGGAAGAAGGCCUUCGGGUUGUAAACUGCUUUUGUACGGAACGAAACGGCUCUGGUUAAUACCUGGGGCUAAUGACGGUACCGCAAGAAUAAGCACCGGCUAACUACGUGCCAGCCGCCGCCGUAAUAC
rnacentral:rRNA from 1 species